CGGGCUCUUCGAGCAGCAAUUGGGUACUGCCGCAGGAUGAAGGCGUGGCUUUUGAUUGGCUUAGACUCAUGCCUAUGAGACUGUGAGGAUCUCGUUUCCCUAGCAACGGAUUGGCAUUGAGAGAGACCAAUUACUUAAAGGGAAAGAAAGCGAGGUUCAGAGAGGUUUAUUGCCCUCAAUAGCCAGGAAUUGAACACAGGUGCCCGGCAGGAUUGUACUUUCCUGCCCCCUUUAAAGACCAGCAUGACCACAUGCCCUGCUUUGGCCAAAACUACGUGAGGAGAAAUGACAUAUCUCUUCCAGGAAGAGAAGUCUUUGGAGCUUGUGAUUAUUUGCUCAGGUCUUCCCUCGGCACACUAGCCCCCAUAUUCAAGAUCCAUUUGGGACCCCAUUUGGGGUCCCUCAACCUGGGUCUCUGAGCAAAACUAUUUGCAUAGAGCCAUUCCUCCAAACUGCCCAACAGGCAAUGGUCACAUGACAGGUACAAGAAGUAAAUCUGUUGUUUUAAACCAUU